rnacentral:rRNA from 1 species
UUGAACGCUGGCGGCAGGCCUAACACAUGCAAGUCGAGCGGAUGAAGGGAGCUUGCUCCUGGAUUCAGCGGCGGACGGGUGAGUAAUGCCUAGGAAUCUGCCUGGUAGUGGGGGAUAACGUCCGGAAACGGGCGCUAAUACCGCAUACGUCCUGAGGGAGAAAGUGGGGGAUCUUCGGACCUCACGCUAUCAGAUGAGCCUAGGUCGGAUUAGCUAGUUGGUGGGGUAGAGGCCUACCAAGGCGACGAUCCGUAACUGGUCUGAGAGGAUGAUCAGUCACACUAGAACUGAGACGCUCCCCAGUCUCCUACGAGGGACAGCAGUGGAAAAUUUUACACUGUGCGCGAGCGUCUUACACACCCACGCCGCGUGUGAAGAAGGUCUUCGGAUUGUAAAGCACUUUAAGUUGGGAGGAAGGGCAGUAAGUUAAUACCUUGCUGUUUUGACGUUACCAACAGAAUAAGCACCGGCUAACUUCGUG